UGUAGCAUCGCAGCCCCAGACAGAUUUGGAAACCUGACCAUCAAACCACAGCGGCAGUUACAACGCCCUCACCACUCUAUAAAUACCACCUUUGUGUCUUAGUUUAGAGAUCCACUAAUCCCUCCAGCCUCGGGACCGACUUCCACAUUCCUUCCUCUCUUUUCUCUAUAAUUUUCCAUCUUUAUGAUGAAUCUUUGCCCCAUAAUUUUGUAUCCAUUUAAGAUAAGAUGUUAGAUAAUACGGGGUAGGGGUAUAAAGGUAAUUACAUAUGUGGCAUGGUUAUAAAUAGGAAGUUGGAAAGAGAAGAGAGGGCAUGAAGAUUUUAAGGAAGGCAAGGGUCUGCUAUACUCCUGAAGGAAGAGGGGAAGCAACAAAAGGCCAGACCCAUAAAUCUUGGAAAGGAAAUCAACAAUGGUGCAAACAUGGAUUGAAGAAAAACUGGAAGCCUUUGUAAAAGAAGUGAUCGGGAUGAAGAAAGAAUUAAGCAAAAUUCCGAAAAUUGAAGAAAAUCUGAGAUCCUUAACAAAGAGCAUUGAGCGGUUAAGAAUUCAAGCGAGGAAAACAACUGUUUUUAAACUGCAUUGAAACCCUAGUGAAGGAAAAAUCCACAGUGAGUGGAAGAAUCACAACAUCGACGAAUCAAAUACCAGUGAUGAAAAGUAUAAUUGAAGGAGAAAGUACAUCGACGAAAAGAACCGAGAAUGAAGAAUGAAAGGAGGAAAUAGAAAUUGAAGAGAAGGUGACUGGAGGAAGGACAUCAAUGAAAAGAAUCAAGAAUGAAGGACGAUUGGAGAAAAUAGAAAUUGAAGAGAAGGUGGUCGAUCGAAACAAGUUCGAAUGGUCAGUGUUUAUCGUAAGUAUUUCUGUUGGAACCACUUUAGGUUGUUAUCGAUCCACCAAGAACUGGUUGGAAUGAAUUAAAACAGAGGCUGAUAUUUAGUUUCUGACGAGUAAGGAAGAACUUAACUACGAACAAUUCUUAGCAAGCAAGCCGGAAAUCGUGGAAGAUCGAUGAGAAUUACCAGCAAGACCCGAAACGAAGAUCUAAGUGAAGAAAAAGUUGUUGUUCGAAGAAGUUGAAAUUGAUUGGUUGCGACGGAGAAGGAAGAUGCCGGAAGUUGACUGGUUCAGAUGGAAAAAGAGGAUGGCAGCAAACGUGCGGAAAGUGGUAGAAAAGGAGGUUAGAGGAAAAAAACUAAACCCUAAAAUCUUGUUCAAGUGGGCUUCAAUGUAUUUUAAAGGGUUUCAAUUCAUUUUAAAUAAAAGAGUGGAUGCCUAUUGUUAUGUAAAUGAAGUGGGUGGUGAGUCCCAAAAAUGGAAGAGAAGAAAAACGUGCAGAGAAGGAGGUUCCAAAAUUGAAACGAAGCGAUGGAAUGAUUCUGAUCUUCAUUAUGGGCUUAAUUGAUUAUGGGCCCAACCUAUUGGAGAAGAAAAGUUUGAAAACUAAACACCGGUUAAGUAUAAUAACGUGUAUGGAAAAAGGAAGAUUCAGAAAUAUUGAGCUUUGUUGUGGGUCGAAGGAAGAUUAUUCUGGGGGCUGAAGUCAUUGGGUCUAAUUGGAGUCAAUAAUUUUUUUUUUAAGUUGAAAGGAAAAUUUCAGAACAAAUCAUUGGGAAUGGUUGUGUAAAUAAAUUUUUUAUAAAAAAAAAAGGCAAAAAAAAGAGAGUUAAUUUUGUGAUUAUUUUUGUAAGCACAUCUCGAGGACAAGGUGUUUUUGAAGGGUUGGGUAAUGUUAGAUACCUAGAUUAUAGGACAAGGAUAUAAAGGUAAUUAGAUAUGUGGCAGUUAGAUGAUUAUAAAUAGGAAGUUGGGGAGAGAAGAGAGGACAUGAAGAUUUUAGUGAAGGCAAGGGACUAUUAUAUUCCUUGAGAGAGAGAGAGGGGAAGCAGAAGGCCAAGUGCUUUUGUUCUAGUUAUUAUUUCAUAUUGUAGUUUCUUUUUAAAUAUCAAUAAAGUAGAAAUAUUAUAUCAGUGUUCUAUCAGAAAAUUUGUAAGGUGUAAGAGUUUUGUUCUGAAUGGCUCACAACCUAAACAAAUUUGAAUGAAUGGUUAGAUAGACUCGUAAAGUGUUUGAUUA